rnacentral:lncRNA from 1 species
UUUUUUUUUUUUUUUUUUUUUUUGCUCAGUUUAUUUUACAUGAGUCGACUCGUGGGGACAGAUUUUCAGAAGAUUAUAUGCAAGCAUGUGCAGCACGCUGCACGCACGUCAACCUGUGGAGGGAAAACUUGACGUUGGGCCGUACCAAGGGUCCAUCUGACAACGUACUUACAUUUCGUCAAAUAUAUUUUUUAUUUUUUAUUUUAAAAAUAAUGACUUCACACCCUUGCAAAAUCAAAGAAAUAAAAUUUAAUUUCAACCUAAAUUUUAGGCCACUUUUUACACUAAAUUUAUCACAUGAUCCAUACAUAGUUAUUUUUUUCUCUAUAAAAGGUAUAAUUUGGCUUAACUCAUAUUCAUUUUUACCUCUAAAAAAGUAAGAUUUAAUCCGAAUCAUAUUCAUUUUUUUCUUAAAAAAAAAAAAGAAAUCAAAACAAUUCAUAUUUAUUUUUAUCACUAAAAAAGAGGGAUCUAACAUGUUGUAUAUGAAAAAUAACUGCAUGCGAAUUAAAAAGAUGACGUGAUUUUACGCUAAAAAGUGACUGAAAACCUAUAUUGGAAACAAAUUUUAUUGACUUAAUUUUGUAUAAGAUAUAAAGUUACUCUCUUAAGAGUAGAGAACGAAAAAAUUCAUUUGAUAAAAUAUAACGAGCAUUUUGAACGAUUUUCCUAACUAAAAAAAAAAAACCUACAUGGACCCCGCGCUUUUACAGAAACUCAUAUUUGCAUAAUCACGCGUGACACUGACCUUAAACCUGAAUCAACUUGAUACAGUCAGCCUUCGGUUUUCCCUUCCGCUAUGGAGUUGACCCCGAGAAGAAAAAAGUCUUCCAGUGUUCAGGUUGGAAGCGGCAGGAGCAUGGCUACCUUCCCAUUGUUCUGACUGCCAACCUAAGCGAGAGUCAGAGAGGGCUUUGCUUGCGUCCAUAUUAUUUUCCCACGAUCGUUGUAGCAAAUUCCGUGGCCACUACUGAAAUACGAUAAGAAAAGCCACGGUCAAAUAAAGUUCAGAUUAGUCGAGAUUCCCACCGAAAGAGGGCUCUGCAUGUCUGCUUCAUAUUCAGAUUUAACAGGACCCUCCACAGCCUGCAGUAAUGUUUCAAUCACAGUAAACAAGACUCACCAAUACCGUAUAUAUAUAGUCAUAUGUAACUCAGGAACUCUUUGUAAGUACCGAAUGCCACGGUCUGCAAGUGUCAAAUUCAAGAGGAAUACCGAGAUUUUGCAAUUAGUGCAGAAAGCCGGUUGCUAGGUCAAAUGCGUGUCAAAACCGAUGCAUUCCAACUAAGCUACAAAAAUCAACGAGAGAUGUAGCCUAAGAAGUGGAUUCUUUCUCGUUGUAAGGCUGCAAACCACAUUCAAGCCUGAUCGCUGACAUAAGAUCGUGAGGUAUAGCAUGCGGAGUCCUACCCUCUCUGCCUGAAAAAGUAUCUCGAAUCUGUAGUACUUUCCCGGCUACCAUGGGUAGUUGGCUCUCCUGCUCCCCAACCCCUAUACAGUAUGACUUUACUUGGUUCUUGAGACACCAGCACAGCCCCAGUGGCUUGCUGUGAGGUUAACAGGAGUUAAAAACAGCCUCAAAACAACGAUUUAAUCAAAGCAAAUAUUAGCAAACAUCAGAAAUGAUUUCUGUAAAUUUCUGAAGUUAAAUUUAUCUCAAAGCUCAUUGCCGCAGAUACUUAAAACGGAUUUCAAUCACAAACCUCCAGCUUGAAGACCACCUCCUGGACAGAAGUCCCUUUGGCUCUGCUUUUACAUUCACUAUAGCAAGAGGGUACUUUUGGAAGCGGACCUUGAUUGCUUCAGCAAGUCCACUAACCUUGUUGCUCUUCCCUAAGAAAUAAGACCAUUUGUAAAAUACUUUAUGUUACCCAGCCAAACAGGUGAAACAGUUAAAAACAAACCUUCCAUCUCAAUCAAAAUAUAAAAGACUGCUACUUCUGUCUAUCUAUUGCGUCAUUUAGAAAGAAAAUUGCCUCAAGAAUUAUUUAGAACAGUUUGGCAGUGUAUUCAUGAGCAUUUACAAUUUCAAUAUACUAUUUCCAAUUCUUUAUUGGUCUACAGCUUUUCAGAAUAGCAUAUGCUGGACUCUUACACUGAUGAAAAACUAGUUAUCCACAUAAUGCUACAUUACGAGAUUCAUAUUUCUGAACACGUGUGUUCUAGAGUAGCCAGAAACCAAACUUGAGUGUCCAGAAACUACAGUCAAUCACAAAAUGGCAGAAUGUAAUCCACAGAGACAAAAAAAUGUCCAAACAACCAACGUGCAACAAGGUUUCACAACAUAAGGAACUGAACUAUAGGAGUCCCAGAACCACGGCCAAUGACAAAAUGACAGAAUGUGAUCCACAGAGACAACAAAUAUCCCGCAACUAACAUACGACAAAGUUUCACAACAAAAGGAACUAUAUCAGAAAUCCACAUGUUGGUGGCUGGAAAAGGGCCAAAUUUGUCUCAUCCAACAUGUAAAACAACAUUACUCUUGAAAUAGGGGUUUAUAGCAGAAUAUUAAAUCAAGAAAGAUACAAAAUAUAUUCGUAUUACCUAUGGCAAACACAUGAUGCUUUUUCAUCUUCAGCGCUUGUUUCCGCAAAAGUAGCCUGUCUCUAUUGGAGAGGCUUUUAGCUCUAACAAGUAUUGCAUUGCAGCCACUUUCCUUAACUACAUGAACUGAUGAAUCUAGCUCAGUUUUCAUGGAUCAGCAGGGAAUGCAUAGCUUUGGUGCCACCAAGUUUAGCCUCCAUAGUACCAAUAGCGGAAGUGCGUGUCACACCAAGUGUCUAAGAUAAAAGAAAAAAACAUUCAUAGAAGAUUAAUUAGGCUUGUACAACUCGACUCGAUUUAUUGACAGAAAAGGGAAUCAGGAGAAGAUGAGGGUGGCACAUUUCCACGAAUUCAAAAGAUCUUUAGCUUCUUUACUUGUACCUUUUCCCAUUUCAUUUAGAUAAAGGUUCUGCAUCUGCAUUAUCAAACUCAUAGCAAUGUUUUCAAAGUCAUCACUCAUAAAUUCCAUGUCACACAGUAUGCAGAGAGUUUGUUCAGCGAUUCAAUCCUAUAGUUCUGGUUAUGAAAAGAAACUAAAAUGAUGAAGGGAAAAAAAUUAUUGUGCACUAGGAAAUAUUUUAUAUUAAAAAGAAACGUAAUUAACAACAAUAUGGCCUACACUUCACACAUCCUGGGUGCAUGACACUGAAAUUGACUGACUUGGCAGCAGUACAAAUUAAGCUGCACUGAAAUUGCUGUAACCAUUAAAUAUGCUUGAACCUUCUGGAGAAAUUUUUUUUUUUUUUUUUAAAUUUAGCCUCUCUAGUUUAAUGCAGCACGAAUUCUCAUAUAAGUCCUUUACCUAAAGUAAGUGUUUUAUAUUUGUCAUACAACAAUUUCAGAUUCCAAAGCCAGUGAAACAAUCCAUUAGAUAGAUGAGCAUGAGGUUGACACACACUGGAUUAGCAUGGCCUUGGAUGAUGACAAAAAAUAUAUAGCUCAUUCCAAAACUCAAAAAGAGAAGGGAUCCUUUUUACCUGUUCAUUAUAAUGGCUCGUUGACAAUGAUUGGGGAGAGAGUUCAGGACUAGCAAGGGACAUUUUAUUUUUUGAUGAAUGGAACUUGUCUGGCUCCUGCUCUUCGUCCUGGAUCAUGAUUAAACUGCAUAUAUUAGCCCAGAUUUUGAAAUAAUCUUGCAACGGAAGAACAGUAUAAUGAGAUCUGAAAGGAAAUUCACCAAUUUGAGUUUUAAUUCUUCAGCCAAGUCCGUCUUGUUUGUACCCUUUUCUUUGGCCUGGAUCAAAUGAAUGAUAUGUAAUUUCCACCAGAAUACAGUCUAUUAGCUGCAGAAAACAAAUUAAGGCUCUGAAAUAAGAUAACCCACCAAUUGAAGCUUCAACCGAUCUAUAUUCUGUGUAAGCUUCAAAACAUGUAAUUUGAGAGACUGCAAUUCAUGCAAAGAGAAUAUGUGAGGCACAACGAGCAAUACUCAUAAUCAAAAUACUUGAUAACAAAAAAGCUGUGUUAACAGUGUCCUGUACCACCAUAGAAAAUUAAAGGAAGGAUAAUUUGGAAUAGUUUCGUGCUUUGUCUCACUACAUAUACAAAUGGAUGAAAUGAAAACCAGGGGAUAAACACAAACUUGACCUCACGACGUUGUGCCUCUAAAGAACGUUCAUUGCUUCUCUUUUGCUUAGAAGCGAACGAGGCCUCAAACAAGCAGGGCGACUGUAGUUCUUUCCACGAUAUACAAUGAUAGCAAAACUUUGCUAACCCGUUCAACUGCUACUAAAAUUCCGCCACUUUCUGCCUCCAGUGUUCGUGCUCUUGCAGUGACCUCCUCAAUACUUCUUCCCCCGGUUAUAAUCUUCACUAAUUCUCUGUAUUUCCAGUGAAGAUGCAUAUUUUCGAUUGUUCCAUCAAAUACUCCUCGUCUUCCUGAGCAUGAAAGAGAGAAAUUUACAAGGAUGACAUGAGGCCAGAAACACACACUUUUGGCUUGCCAAUGUCAUUCUUCAUCAUAGGGUGUAGUAAGCAAGCACUUCCUUUAGCACUUACCCAGAAGCAGGAAAGGUUUCAUUCUCAAGCCAAUUUUUCUCAGCAUAUAUCGUUCUUCUUCUGUAAUACCUUCUUUAUCAACUUCUGGCUCUUGGGUGGUCUCUUCCUUCUCCAGCUCUACAAGAAGCUUCUCUGCCAUGUCUUUCUUCACUAGUGCCUGUAAGGCUGUAAAAGAUUAACAUGUUUGGGAAAAUAGACAAGUGACUGGAACAGAUUUUGAGGUAGUAUUACAUAACAUGCCUUGGAUAAUUUGGCACUAGUUCUCUCAAUUGCUGCUUCUGUUGAGCUUCGAUGCCUUCGCUUGGAGCAAGUUCAAGUUUCUGGUCCUCUUUACCAUUAUUUUCAUCUCCAUUACAAUUUUCUGAGGUCCCCAGCCUUUGGUCUUUUGAGCUCACUGUAGUAAAACUUUUGUCUGCUCCCUUUUCUUCACCAUCAAGCACAUAGUUCCUCCGCUUUUCAAUUGCUAAAGAGACUGCAGCUGGCAAGAAAUCCUUUCCUCUGUACAGGACAAUGAAUUCCUUAUCUCUUGAAAGCAAGGUUCCCCCAGUUAGGUUCUGCAAGAGUAUAGUUUCAAGUAAAUAUAUGUCAGUGCAGAAGAGUUACUGGCAGUUACAUGUUAGUCCCCUGAUAAAACAGAGCCUAGACAGGAACGACAGAAGAUCUCUUAAACCCAUCUAGCAGACCUUUAGUUCCUCAGCCAUCAAUUCACUGUUGGUGUUCUGGACUCCUCUUUUAACAGCAAUUUUGGCAAUUUCACAUUUCUCCCAUAGCUUAAUAAUUGCAGCAGCCAAGCCCUGAAGUUUUCUAUUUCUGCCUGAAACAAAGGAAAUCGGUAUAAGUAAUAAACUUUGACUAGUAACUAUGCAAUGCUUCCCAAUUUACAAAUCACUCACCUAGGGCAAAAUGGCAUGGUAAAGGCCGACCAAGUCUCCGUAAAAAUGUCAUUUCAUCAUUUGUUAAUAUAGGUUUCACUCCAUAAGGAAGCAGACGAAAUGGUCUCCUAUAUCCAGGAACUGCUGCUGGUAAAAAAUCAGCAUCAACAGGUAAAGGUUCAUACCCCACCAAUCAGUAAACCGGGGACCAAGUCCUUCUAACAGGCGAUCAGCCUCUUCAGCAAGUUGUGCCUCACCAGGCAGUUGGAAUCGUACUCUAUUUGGAGUUCCUACACCUUGUAUUAGAGGUGGAUGAGACACUUUGCUGAGUGACUUAGGUACAGAAGAUCUCAGGGCAUUCCCACCAGAUGAAGAAGCCUUCUUUUCAUUAUCCUCUCUGUAAUCCAUCCGAAAAUCAACUGAAGCUUCUUCACGCAAAGAGCCAUUUGCUGUAUUAUCAUCAGAAAAGAAAUAGGGUACUUGUAAUCAGCUCCUCUGUAUAGCACUAUGUUAGUUCCAGAUCUCCAAACUACUAAGCCUCCAGUCUUCAUCUGGUAAUCCAAAUCACCACACCACACCCAAAAGAAGGAAAACAGGUCAGAUUACGUAACGUUGCAGAGGAAGAAACACAAUUGAAGUGAAUUAUGGACUUCUGAUAGUAAGUACCAAUAACUGUUAAAAAAGACCAUUUGCAGUUAAAUAUGCUUCAGCACAUACCAUGAAGUCAAGCCAUAGUAAAUGCAAACUAAUAAUGGGCACGUAAUAGGACAUGAAAAUCUCAUUAAAACCCAAAUAUUACUGGACAAAUUUGCCUUACAAUAUGUCGUUUGAAGGGUUCAAAUAUAACUAGCAGCUGUUUUUCACAAAGUGGUUAGAGAAACAACUUCAAGCGUAACUAGCAGCUCUACUUAAACUUGAUCUUCAAACAAAGUUUUUACAUUGGAAGCAAGAUAUGCGAAUGUAACUACAAUCAACAUACAAUUGUAGAAUUGGGGAAAAAAAAGGACAUUAACAAUGAGAUCUUACCUCUAACAACUCAUGAGUCCUCUUCAUAUUCAUCCUACAGAUAUCCUCACACCUGAUCUUGACCACCUCAUACCUCCUCCACCUCUCGUGAAUCCCAUUCACAAUCCCUUCCGUGAUCCCGGCCUUCCCAACCUUCAACUUCUUCUGCAACCGAAUACCAAGUGUCCUCAGCCUCCUCAGCUCCCCUCCGGCAAAUUGAGCUCCGCCAAGGUGGGCACUGUCUCCCUUUUCUUCCUCUCCUCAAUCCUCUCCUUAAUCACGCCCCUCCUCAACUGGUGAUACUUCUGAAUCGCAUUCCCCGAGCCGGGUAAGGGGACGGGUUCUGGGGCGUGCUCCAACUCGGGUCAAGAGUGUGCCCGACCCGGUACUUCGGCAACUGGGAAGGCAACGGAACAAAGAUUUCGCCCGGCGAGGCCCAUUCUUUGGAAGCUUAUCUUCAUCUUUGUUCUCAUCCUUAUCAUCUUCGACGUAGCCGAGGCCGCGAAGCUUUUCGGCAAUCCUUUGGAUGGCGGAUUGGGGUAGAGUUUCAGUGUCGCCAGUGGCAGUGGCAAUGGCAGUGGCGGUGGCUCGGCAGAAGAGCGGUUUCGGAGGAGAGACGCCGUACGUGGUAGGUGGGUUUGGGAAGGUGACGGAGGAAGGUAGAAAGGGGUUAAGGAGGGGUUUGGAUUUGGCGGGGGAAGUAAGUAGAAUUGAUGGUUGCCUGUAUAUAGGGCCAUUUGGAGUAGCAGGACACUAAGCCGUUAACGAGUUCUUGAGGUUGGAAUGCAAUAAGCUUUUUAUCGGCUCACCAGCCAUUGCCAUUGCAGGACCGAUAUCUCUACGGCAAUAACUUUUUAAGUUCUCUGUAUAUUAUCCGGUUGAAUAUUUCAUUUUCAGGCGUUUUCUAUAUCUCCUCUCCGAAUGUCUCCGCCAGAUUUUCAAAAAAUUUGGUAAGUGAGAAGUCUUAUUUUAUAAUUCUAACGUUUCCGGAAAAAAAAAAAGAGAAGUCUUAUUUUAUAAGCCGACAAUCAGAACUACAAAAUAUGUGUGUUAUUAUCGUGUUCAUAUCUAUAAUUAAAAUUCUUUCCAUUAUCACUUGAAUAAACAUACACAUAUGCAGCGAUAUGGAUUAAGAUUUAAGAUUAAUCUUUCCUACACUGCACUGACCGUCAGUAUUAGAUGGAUGAUAACUAUACAAAAUUUGAAUUUAAAAUUUAACUUUUAUAUACAUGUCAUUAAUCUAAUAGUGAUAGUACAUGCGCUGUCAGUGUAUAUAAGAUUUACUCGAAAAUUUAGAAAGAGAUAUAAUUAGACAGAGCAGUUGUUUGACAACAGGCAACACCAAAACUCGAAAAAUCAGUUUAAAUAUGAUAAAUAAUCAGGAAACACAUCACUACUCAAAAUUUUCUAGCAAUUAUGAAAAGUUGUUUGAUACGACUGAAUAAUAAAUAAAUAAGGUUGCUUUAAUAACAGCAAACUUUUGAAUUACCACAUUGCCAUUUUCUAGUAUUUUUCACAGUCCCAAGUUACCAACAAUCUCGGUACAAUUAAAUGGGUUAAUUACAAAUCAGAGGGGGCCAAAGACCCACAAAAGUGAGCACUUAAACGCAGAUGUAUAAUAGACAUAGAAAUCCCAAAUUUUCAAUUUUUUUGGUGUUAUCCACAGCUAAAUUUAAAAUUGCAAUGUCGCAACAUUUUUAGCUGUUAAAAUUAUCCUGCCAGCCAACCGUUUAGAUGUCGGUUAAAAGUAACCUGGCGCGGCAGUAUGUAAAAACAUGUGGGGCCGCAAAUAUAUCUAUAGCUAUUUGGCAGCAAACAAAAUGGUUGGAGUUGAAAAGAAAUGUUCUCUUAUUUUUGCUUUUGUGCAUGCAAUAUUGCCAUCUAUCAACACUAGAAAUGCAAUUCUUUCCUCUGAUAUUCAUUCUAUUUCCCAAGACAAUGGGCAGAUGCACAUUGUUAAUUUACAGGAUCGUACGUAACACAUUUACAAAUGAAUUGGGAACCGGUGUACAGAAGAUCCACCCAGAAACUGAACGCUUUCAGCACAGCCAAACCGAUCGGAUCAGGCCAUUAUUAAGCAGAUAACUACUCAUCAGAAACUGAACGUGACUUUAUUCCUGCAAAUGCAAGAAAUCCAUGCUCAAAAUCAACUGAUAAAGAAGACAAUCACUCGCUCUCAUAUCCUAUGGGGCUAUUUCAUAUAAAGGAUUUCUUUUGCAAGAUGGAAGCACUUGAAGGCAAUCAUAUUUAUGAUCAAACACUCACAUGUCAGCUUGCAAAUAUUGCUCCACAGUGAGAGGUUUAGGGCCGCCGAACCAAUUGAUCAUAAAUAUAUCAUAAAUUUCCAGCUCGAAGAACUGGAAAUUAUGACCCUUAGGCCAGCCUGCAUACCAUUCAAUUAAAACACAAUUUGCAGGUAGUUCUCACGAACAAAAGCAAUACAGCAGCAGGAUAAAGAUUUUCAAGGCCAAACUAAGUAAAGCACAAGGACAACGCUGUUUCAAACAUUUAUAAAGAAAAAACAAGCUUGCCUGUCAUUUCAGGGUGCUUAGUGAACAGCGCAGUUUGAGCAAGCUCAGCUUCCUUGGAAUUUCCGUCAAGUAAUGUCAACUACACACCACAAACGCAAAGGUUAAGUCAGGAUGAAACUGAACGAUGAAUGUCAUACAAGUGAGAAAGGCAUUACAAUACAACAGCACACCAGAUAACACAGCCAUAUUGUAAAUUCAAGUGAGAAAGGCCUCCUAGGAAUUAGUAAAGCCACCAGGUCUAAUAAGUUCAAAAUUUUCAGUUAAUUGAGCUAUUACCUUCCCUACAAGUGUAAUUUUUGCCAAGAAGGGUUCAGGGUCCUUGGUACCACAAGUCCGAUGGAUGUUCACUAAUUGUUAAGGAAGAUCUUUGGUCUUUCAAAGCAUAACGUGCUGUUGGAUCAAGUGUCGUCAAAUAGAAAUAUGGGAUGCCACUUCCUUUGUCUGGUUGCCCAUCACUAAAUGAACCACAUUUGUGGACAAUACAGACAAGUCAAUUUAUGACCACAAGGAAAAACAGAAAAAGGAUUAAAAAUAAAAUAAAAUUGCGUAUCAGGAGACCAAUAAUAACUUGUAUCUGAAAAGAAAACAAGAAGUUGAAACCAAGCUUUUAAAGCUCUGUUAAGCGCAUUUCAGUACAUGACACAAUGUUCUGCAUUGUGCCAACCAGAAGUUUACUCAGGUUAGACGAUGCGACCAACUCAACUCAAUCAGGACACAGCAACACACACUUCCUUCCAGGCUAAUAGAAGAGUUGCAACCCUUAGAAAAGUCUUUAAACAAUAAGUCUAAUCUCAACAAGAAGUUGGGAAAGUACAAGUCAAUUUUUAGCAUAGUAUUUAAACUCCAGAUAAUCUCAUAAAAGUGACAAUCAAAGUGAAGAAGUUUCCACGUGUAAAAGCAGAUUCUUUUCUAUUCAUGACAAUCCUCAGAUGACAUAACGAAGCAUCAGGUUUAACCUACCACAAUCAUCACUAGAUCAGAUCAGAGAUUUCUUUCGCCUCAAAAUUUCUUCUGUACAAAUAUCACAAUUUCUUGCAAGAAAUUACUUGUACACAGUCGCCAAAUAAGGAGGUAGAAAGCAAUAUUAUAUGACAGAUCAUACCCAAAAGGUGCUCCUCCCAAAUCACUGGCUAUGGUACUGCAAAAAAAAUAGGAGGGAGUAAGAUAAGAUCAUCUUCAACGUCUGUUUAGACAAUAUUUAAGAUCAACAGUAAUGAAAGAGGAGUUAUCACUUGCCUAACAUGAAAACUUCAAACGGGUAAACACGUAUAUUAAACAACGAAAAACUAUUUGGUUCAGUUUCUUAUCAUCAUUUCAAAUUUAUACCAGUAAACCAAUGUUCUUGACAUCUUUGCAAGCUUCAUCCACAUAGUUGUCCACCAAUUUGACCUUUGCAUUGGAACUCGCAUAAGUAACAGCAAUCGAUGCUUAACAGGAAAUACAACUUUUUUCUCCAUCAAAAAUGUUCUCCACGAUUUUUUACUAUACUAUGAGGGGGUGUUCGUGUCUUGAUCAAAAGGCUUUCCUUUUCAAUCUUUUGCUCUCCUCAAAAGGUGAUAAUGUGAUGUUCAGAUACUUGCAUUACCUCUACAGUUUACGUAUAUGUGAAGAAUUUUCAGCUAAAACGCUGUUUAAAGUGAUCCUUCCUGACCCAGCCAGUUCUUGGUAAGGUAGCAUUUAUUGCAUAUGAUGAAGUAAACAAUGGCCUGCUGUGACUCUUGCCGGUUGAGAAGUAAGUUUGGUAAGGAAAACAGUCUUAAAUCUUCACCUCUUACAAUCAAUAGAAGCAAAAACACAUAAGAUGUGAGCCCUGGCAAUUUGAAGCUUUUACAAAUUGUCGGCAAUUACAUGAAAAUUUCCCAAGUACUGAUAUACAAUUCCAAAGCAUUUUGGAAUUAAAAGGAGCCUUUCGUUUAUGUUACCCUAUAAUUGUAAAAUUAGUGACAGCCAAAUUAUUCAAGUCUGAUGUGAGUUGAAUCAGUCAAAAACAACACAAAGCAUCUUCAAAAGGUCAAAAUUAAAAUAAACCGAAAACAACUAGCAUAAUCCCCAUAGGGAUGUGCAAAUCCCCAACAAAAAAACAUCAUAACGACUUCUGAGGAAUGGGAGAUGGGAAUUGCAACCACAUCCGAAAAAAGUUCCAGGCAGCAAAAUUUGAAGGACGCAUUCGUUAACUAAGACAGAUUGAUAGAUAUAAUAGAUAUUAGACCUUAGAACACCCCAGGAGCUCUGGCAGACCAACCAACGAGCGAAAGCAGCAGUGUCCUUCGGGCUGGGCCUGGUUACCGCUGUGAGUUGUUGCAGUUGCAGAGGCCGUCCCAGUACGGCUUUCUGAAGCAAUACCACCACCACCAAGAGCAGCACCACUCCAUGGCAUUGACCCCUCUUUGUACUCCCUUCAUUCCUAUUUAACUUUCAAGGGGAAAAGGGCAAAAAUAAACUGAAAAGCAACGCCAGUAAUAACCAAAGGAGAUGAUUGAAUGACGAUGGAAUAUAUGUGGUUAUUAUAGCUGCCGUAUGGAGACAGGCACAGCAAUUAUCAAUUACUAUGCCAAUAAUUCCUCUAUUUAAUUUAAUUUAUCCAUUAAAACGAAAACAAACACUUAUUUCUUUUUCAUCUUUCGGAUUCUACAUCUUUUUUUCACGAGUAUCAAAAAAGAUGGUGGCACCAUCAAUGAUCAAUCAAAGAGGAAUGGGCGCGGACUCGGGGGUGGGUGCUGUUUUGAUUCCUAUCCAACUGGUGGUGCAAUGAUAGAAGAAGACUUUUGGAUAAGAUGUUCCCUUUGUCUUUUUCUUUUUCUUUUUCUUUUUUUCACGCUGCACUCGCUCCUACUUUACUGUAUACUAAGAAGAGGGAUGAAUUAGAUUUUAUGCUAGACUCACUCCUAAUUUACUCUACACGAGGGCGGGGGUGGCUGAAUCGCCACUGGUCCAGUCCAGAUGGGUAACCACUUACCCGCCGGUGAAAUUUCAAAAAAUUCUGAAUUAAAUGUAGGUCAAAAGAUUUAACCUCUUGAUUGAUAAGAUGCUCAUUUGUCGAGAAUUUUUUUGCUGUUUGUUUCUAAGUAGUGCAGCACCCAUCUCCUUAUGCUACUUGCGGUAAAUUAGUACUCAUUUGGUUUAGGAAUUUGAUUAUAGUUAGAGCUAAUAGUCUCAUUUGACACACAAUUCUUCUUUUGGAUUCAUCUAUUUUUCAAAAAUAAGUUUUUCAAAUACAAUAUUACAAUAAUAUACAAACAAAAACAAUUCAAAACAUAUUUCAUUCAUACAAUAUAUUAAAUAUUUCAAAAAAUAUCUAUAGUAAAAGUUUUUCAUAUACACUGUUACAGUAAAAUAUUUCAAAAAUAUCCUAAAAAAAUAAUUAAUCCAAACGGAUAUGAUACUGUAAUUUGGAAAAAAAAAAUUCACAUAUUAUUGUAUUUGUAUCAUAAACAUAGCUUUCAAUAACUUUUUUGUCUCAUGUAAUCACAUCACAUCACAAAAAAAUGGUACAAUGCUAUUCUAAAUAAUUUUUCCCCAAAUAAUCUUCUAUCCAAACACUUUUUUUACUUUUUUAUUGAUUUUGUUACAACAAAAUAUUUUAUUUUUCUCAACUAAUGAGCAUUGGUUAAUAUGACAAAGUUAAGUUAAAUCAACAAAUUAUCUAAAUACAAGGGCAGUAAAUAUAAUGUGAAGUAAAAUGGUAAAUUUGAUAUAAAUAUAGAUUUACCGGAAUGGCAGUUAAAAGUUCACCUUUUAUAAGAAUAAGAUUAGCAGUUACAACAGCUUAUCUCACUUAAAUGAUUUUGUUUGUUUUGAGUACUUGUGACUUGUAACUGGAUAGAAAAUAAAAAAGAAGUUUUAUUUAAUAAAUCUACUCUCUAAUUCACUUAUAAUAAAUUCCUCAUCAUACCAAGUUAUAGCCAUUUAUUAAUUGAACAAACCCAAGUCUAGUAUGUAUUAGGGUCUGUAUAGAUUAAAUAUAUUUAAGGGUGUUUCUUGAAAAUUUUUACUAUAAUUUUGUGUAUUAAAAACUUUCACUGUAGAUAUAUUUUGAGAGUGAUUUUAAAUUUUAAAACUUCUAUUUAGGUGUUUUAAAAAAUUCCAUUCAUCCUUCCUACCAUAAUGCCUUAUACCCCCUAUCUAAACCCCUCCCUUGUAAAACCCCUUCCCUUCUCCUUAUUUCAUUUUCCUUUUCCACCUCUCCUCUCUCUUUUCCUAUCUUACUAUAUCCCCUCCUUCCUUCCCUCCCCUUCUUUCUCCUCUUUUCCCUCAUACCAUUUCUCCUUUUGUCGCAAAGAAAUGUGGGAUAUAAAAGAAAGAAAGGCAUGAGGAAGGAAAAAUGAGGAAAGAGUGGACAAAAACAUAGGGAAAGGAAUCGGAGGACCAAAACGAGAGAAAGGAGAGAAAGGGGAAAAAAAUAGGGCGGAAAAAGGGGGUAGAGUAGUGGUAGAGAAGGAGGAAGUAGAAUAGAAAAGGGAAAAAAAAGGGUUAAAGGAGUGAAGGGAUGAUGGUGGUGGAGGCGCGGCGAGGAGGCAUUAAAGGAAAAAAAAAUAGAUAGUGAGUUUUUUCAAUUGUUUUCUUAGUAUUUGUAGUAAGUGUAUUUGAGAUGUAUAUAGAGUUUUUUGUGUGUGUCUUAUUGUAAUAUCACAUUUGAAAUAUUAUGUUAAGAAAAAAAAAGCAAAUCCAUAAAAGACAUUUAGAAAUAUUGCAUAUAAUUUUCUUCAAUUCGAAUGGAAUACUAUAUAGAUUAAGUAAAUCUCAAUAUCUAUACUCCAAUUAAAAUUUUCCAUAUAGAUUUUUUCCUUCUUAAAGCACUAUGAGUAUUUUUAAAAUAUGAAAGCAAUUCUAUCUUUCAUAUGAUAUAGUUGAUGUAUACGUAUUUAUUAUUAUUAUUAUUAUUUUUGUUGGAUGAUAUGAGUCUACCUAAAAGACGAAAAAAUGUGUUUUUCAAUUCUCUGUCUAUUUUUUAGAGUAUAUUAACAUGAUAAGUUAGGUGUAAUACUUAGAUGUCUUAACGAGUGUUAUAAGGUCACCCACUAAAAAAGUCAUUUUUACAUAGCAUGCUUAGUUUAAGCCCUUCACAAUUUCACCAAUGUGUCAAGAAUAAUACCUUAUUGUGUGUAUAUAGGUUAUGGAGAGUAAUUAUGAUAGCUUGGCAUUGCUCUGAAUUAUAGGACUCGUUAGGCAUAAUGGAUAAUCUAGUAUUUAAAAUCUCUAGAAAUAUUUCCCACUUAGCCUUAUCUUUGACAAUUUCUAGUAUUUAAACAUCCAAAAAAUGGCAAUCAGUGACAUUCAGUUUAGUUUCCACACCUUCCCAAAUGGGGAUGAUAUUUGCAAUUACAAGCUUAUAACAUAACAAGCGAUUUAAGCUGCAACCUCAUUUUUGUAUUAAAAAUCUCUCUCGUACAUAUAGAAAAUAUUUUGGAGUAAUCUCCAAAAUCAACGACCAACAAGUUGGUCAUAAUGAAAAGAGCACAUUUUUAGUCAUAAAAAUUUUACUAAGUCUAUCAAAGUAGAGAUAUAAAUGUAAAAUCAAAAUUUGCAUAAUUCAAAAGAUAAGAAAGGGUCUUCAACCUAGGGUUGCAAACGAGUCGAGCUCGAACUCGAACUCAAAAUAUUAAGCUUGUUAGCUCGCGAGUCGGCUCGCGAGCUCGAGUAUAUAUAUAUAAUAUAUAUUUUUUUUUAAUUUUAAGUAUAUAUAUAUUUUUAAAUUUUAAGUAUAUAUAUUUUUUUAUUUUCUUAUUUUAAUAGUAAAAUUAUAUAUAUCCUUAAUAUUUUAUUAUUUAUUAAGAAAAAAUAUUAUAUUAUUUAUUUUUUAAAAAAUAAAAUAAUUAUUUUUUUCGAGCUCGACUCGAAUCGAUUCGAGUCGAACUCGAGCUUUCAAUUUGCUGGCUCGUCAAACUCGAGUUCGAGUUUGAGUUUGGUAAAAUUUAGUCGAGACUUGGCUCAAUUAACCCAAAACUCGAUUCGACUCGACUCGUUUGCGACCCUACUUCAACCAUACUUAAAUUUCUAUUUUAGUUUUUCAACAUAAAUAGAUAACAUGGCAACUCUAUUCAGCUAGAAUUUUCGUCGUCCUCUCACGUGCCCGGCAUGUGGAUUGGAAGCAUCAUGUUGUUCGCGCAUCGCGCGUUAGCUUCCCAUCUGGUCUCGCCUGCCAGUACCCCAUGUGCCCGUGUUUCCUUCUUUUAGUUCUUCUACUGCAUUUGCUCUCUUCCCGCUGCCUUCUCUCUCCCACUACAUUCUCUCUCUUUCUUUUUUUGGACAAUGUUGCUCUGUCACUUGUCCACAUGCUCUGGAACCUGGUACAAAAGUUUGUUGAGCUAUCCAGUUCUGUCAAAACCAUUGUCUUCUUACCGCCCAAGGAGGUGCCAUCUUCACUGUGGGUCGCAGCGGUCCAGAUCCUUUGCGGUUCGUUUGGUUCUCCUCCUCCUCCUUCGUUGUAAGUUUUCUUCUUCCUAUCCAGUGAGAUGCGAUCUUAGCUGUAGGUUUUCUCUGUACAUUUUAGGCUAAAGUUCAUAUGUUUUGCCCUUUAUCCGGUGAGGUGCAAUCUUCUAUUUUUGCUCUCCGGAGAGGCACAAUCUUAGUUUUGGUGAGUUGUCCGUUUAGAUUUCUUCCGUUCUGCUUGCGCUGUGUUUGGGAACCGUGUGAUCUUGUGGUUAGAAGAACAAGAAAACAAAAAGAAAGAAGUUGUCGAAAGAUUCGGGAGGACCGAACAACAACUUCGACCUUUCCCAGGAAGUGCUAGAAGUACUGCCGCCGGAUCCAUUUGAACGGCUGGAUGUUGCACGCAAAAUCACCUCCACUCUUCCCUCGAAUCAGAGGCAUCUGUUCUCCGUCACAAGCUCACCGAGAAGGACGCCAUCAUCGCCGACCUUCAGUCCCAGCUUCAGUCUCUCGAUGCCCCCUUUUCCGACGCUUCCGACAAACUUACCCUCGCUGACCAAGAAAAUGUCCGAUUCUUAUAACCAACCCGACCCACUUGAACCGUUUUACUUCUCCAAUUACUACUUAUAAGUUAGAGCUAUAGUUUUCUUCUUCUUCUGCUUCAUCGUUCUAAUUAAUUGAAUAGGAGAAAUUGUUGAAGGAGAAUGAGACGCUAUUGAACACUGUGAAAAAGCUUAACCGCGAUGUUGCUAAAGCAAUUGACAGUAUAUAAUGGUAAAUUUUAGUUUUUUCCCCCCUUUGAGGUAAGCUUAUUGCGUGGUAAAAAUUUUGUGGGGAUUGAUUACUUUUACUUGAUUUUAGUUUUUGUAGUUCUUUUCUGCAGCUAAUGUUUGUCAUUUUAAUUUUAAUUUGGUCAUAUGGAAUGUAUACUAUUAUUAUUUUUGGGACUGAAUUUACUGUUUUCAGCUGCUCUUGACUUUUAAUUUUGAUUUUGUUCCUUUAUGAUGCUCACGUUAUUACAACUCUAUUACUAAUACGUGGCCUUAGUGAAUAUAAAAAAAUGGUCCAAAGUUUUUUCUUUUUGGUUUUUUGGGUUGGCAUAAUUCUUAACUUCAAAAAGACUGUGUUAAAAUGACUUCAGAAUUCUGAUGAAUUUUGUUUGAAAGAAAAAUGGCUUUGGUUAGCAAUGUGAUUAAUUACAAGAGGUUAGGAGUUUGUGGGUCAAAAUCGAGGUAAUUUUGUUAUUUGCGAACUUAAUGGAAGAGAAUAUUUUCAUAUGACUGCUUGUAGAGUCGGUAGAUCCAUUGAGCUAAUAAAUCACGCCAUUUUUUUUGGGGUUGCAAAUGAUUACCCAAAAUUUAUCAUUAUUUAAAAGAGAAAUAUAGUUCAAAAUAAAAAAGGUAAAAGAUCCUAGGAGCAGGAAUUCCCACUUCAUAUCAAAUUAAAAUUGGCAUUGAUUCUAAUCUAGAACGUUGUCAAUUAAUCUGCUGUUUCGCCUAUGUUAUUAGAAAACUCUAUGGCUUCGCGCGUCCAAAAAAUGGCAUACUUAUUAUCUUUUAAAGGCUUUUCUGUGUCUUUGUCUUCCUUGUUCGCAUCUGCUGUUUGAUGCUCUGGACAUUUGCGCGUCUGUAACGCUUAGGCUGCAUUUGUGCUGUUUUGGGGCUUAGCCUUUGAUGCAGAGUUUGGUGUUGUAAUGUUUACACGGUAGGCUGCUUUUCUAAAAUACAUUUUUUUUUUACACUUGAUUUUUUUUAAAUUUUUUUGCACCACAUUCUAGCCGUCAUCUUGCAAUAUCUUAUUCUUUAUUACAAUAUCUUUACUUUGCUGUGUGAUUUUUUCGAUAAGCACAGGUAUCAUUAUGCAUAGUUAUUAUAUAUUUGGAGAUACUCAGACAUCAUAUAUCUACUUAAUCUUCUUAUUACAAUCAAAGUGGAUGGUUGCACGAUUAGUAAUUAGUAUGUUACUAUAUUGAGUGAAAAUUUUGAGCUUUUCCAUGUAUGUUGUUUAUCUUAUCCUUGAGCUUUCUUUCAUACAGGAAUUGCUUUGCGUAUCAUCUACUUGUCUGUGGCUGAUGAGGUUGUCAGUUUGAUAAUCUACUUGUAUUAAUUCUGUUUUUUCUUGCAGGUCAUAAAUUUUGAGAUGCCUCAAAGUGCUGCGAGAUAUGUACAUCGAAUUGGACGUACUGGAAGAGCGUAUAACACUGGUGCAUCUGUCUCUCUGGUAAUUUUCUAAAGACUAAGUUGGAAUUACUUUUGUAACUGAAUUUAUUCCCUGACUUCCAGAUUGAAUUUGGCUCAUCUUCAUUUUUUUGCAAGCAGAACUAAUGAACAGUUGGAUUGCUUGAAUAUUGACUGGAAUCUUCGGUAAAUCAUUGGCUCAUAUAUAUCCAUGUUGUAGAAGUUCUAUCAUCUUUCGCAAUCAUGGUUUUGGUUUUCAGUUUUUUCUUUGUGUUUAUUGCAUACUGAAAUAAGCCUUUUGUUUUUUAUAUCAAAUAUUGGAUUGUGCUAUAGGUUUUGCCCUUAUUUUUUGCUGUUCUUUUUUAUAUUAGAAUUCCUAAUAUAUGUUAGCACAUGAAUACUGUCUCCCCUAAUAUGAUUAAAGUGAUUAUGGUAAUGCAUUUAAAAUUAUUGUGAUCAUUUUCUUAUAUGUUUCUUAUCUCCCUCUUACUUUAUCUUGAAUAGGUGUCCCCUGAGGAGAAUGACAUGUUUGAAGAUAUUAAAUCCAUCAUCGGUGAAAGUGAUAACAUGGACUCCAAUUUUAUAGCUCCAUUUCCAUUGCUCACUAAGAAUGCUGUGGAGGGCUUGAGAUAUAGAGCUGAGGUAAAUAUUGCCUUCCUUUACUGCACAGUAAGUUGUAACUUUUUGAACUUAUUAUGCGUUAAGCAUCUCUUUAUGCUUACUUUGCUUCUGUGGUUCUUAAAAAAAACCGUAUGGCGUUUGCCUCGAGAUAUUGAAACUUUUGUGCUGUGUUGCUGUUUUACUCUGUGCUUUUUAGCCUAGAGUUGCUAUGUUGCUAUUUAUACGUACCGCUUCAGUUAGAGCUUUGCUUCUUCGGAUAGGUGUGGGGUUAUGCAUUAUUAUUUUGUUUUGACUCUAAAAAUUAUAUAUUAAUUGCCUUUUGUAAUUAAGCCACCGCACCUAAUUGCCUUAUCUGUUGCCAGCAUAAUUUUUUUUUUUAAACUGAAUUUGGAUGCUUACUGUUGCAUUACCAACUUUUCAAUUCUGUUACACAUUUGGGCUAUACUUUGUUAGUGUUGCAGGGUAUUAGCCUAAACCUCCGGGUUGCUGAUGCUCUUGAUGGAAAGGAAUUGUUGUGCUAUGUUAAAUGUGCUCCUGAUUUCAUUAGAGUAACUGGAAUCAGGUUUACGAUUGUUACGACUUAUUGGGUUGGAGAAACUGCAUAUGUGGCCGUGUAAAAUGUGUCUUUUCCUGAUGUGACAUGCCUCUUUCCGGCAUCAUAUCUACCUUAGAAGUUGCCGAAUUAGUAUUUUCUCUGAAAUAUAUUUUUCCCAUGCUUUCCUUCAAAUAUGUUUUUAUUCUCAGGUUUUUGCUUCAUUAUUAUAUGUACUUUCUGUGGUGAUGAUUCAUGAUUUCAAGCAUGUAUUCGUCACGAUUUACUUGUAAUUGAUGCACAUACAAUUCAAUAAGGAUUUCAAAGGUUAUGUGGCUAUGAAUGAGCAUUUAGCUGAAGUUUGCAUAUUUUGAUUGUGGAACGGAUUGUCCGUGUAAUUUAUUUACCUUACUUUUACUCAACAGAAAGAACUUGCUCAACUUACUUGUGAAUGUGAAAGACAUAUUGGCACACAAUCUGGCGGAAUGGAACAGGUAAUGAUUUUCUGCUCUUUCCUUGCUUGUUCCUUGAAGCUCUGAAGUAGCCUCUGCAAGAUUUCUGCAGAAGCAUAAUUUUUGUUUCCUUUUUUUUGGAUUUACCCUUGUCCUUUGCUUCUCGUGUUUUGUCCUUGUGUUUUGAUCAUAUGUGACUUCUUUGUACAUUUUUUUACAAGUUUUUUGCUGCAAUGGCUCUUGAAUUGACUUGCUUGGUGAAAAUUUUUGUGUUACAUUUUAUGUCCCUAUGAUUUAGUUCUAUCCAUUUGUGAUAUUUCUUUAUGUCUGUUUUCUUGAUCUGAUUGCCUGAUUCGUUUUUCAGUAUUAUUCGUCUUCAUUCCAAUGGGAGCUCAUUGCUCUAAAUUAGGCUUUUGCUGAUGGCCUUCUAACCUCAAAUCCAACAUCGCUUAUUCCUCUGAUUUUGGUAAUUCUUAAAACUCUUUUAAAUGUAUAAAAAUGUAAUAUUUGUUUCCCUUUUCUUAUUUUUUUUUCUUCUGGGGUUUUAGAGCAACGUGGAGAAAAUGAGAGUAUGAAACUGCCAUCAUUUAAAGAAUGCAGUUUAGAUAAGCUGAAGGUGGCGACUGCAGGAUUCUCAGUUGAAUACAUUGUACCAGAACAUGGAGAUAAAGCUCCCAAUGUUGUCUACAAAGGGCAGCUUGGACAUGACGGCUCUUAGAUUGCUAUCAAACAUUUCAAUAAGUUUGCUUGGCUGGAUUCUCGGCAAUUCCUGGUUGUUAUUACCUCUUUUAAGCAAGGCCCCAGCUAUAGUGUUUCACAUAGUACUUAGUUAACCAUGAGUAUGGUGGAUGUUAUUCAGAUUUAAGAUUUGUUGUAUGCAAUUUGUAGGUUGAUAAGUGAGGAAACUUAUUUUAGGUUGAUAUGAAUUGAAACAUUGAUUAUACGGUUGUUAUGCCUUUGUUUAAGGUCAAAUGGGAUGAAGUAUUUGUUACUAUCAAUAAUAUAAAGUCGAUUUCAUUUAUUUUCUUACUUACUUUGGCCCUUACUAUUUUACAUUUUCCUGCUUACAGCCCUAUUAACUCUCCUCUUUCACUUUUCUUUUCCUUUUUUUUUUUCUAAUUUUGAGAAUGAUCUGAGAGCAUGGAAAGAUAGUAAAAUAUAACCCCUAAUGAUGCUUAUAAGUUUUAAGUAGCUACAUUAUUAGGAAAUUAAUUGAACUCGUAAUUAAAUCAUAAUGCAACCUAAUCUUGAAAUAGCAAGGACAGAAGACAACUUAGACGGAGUCUUAAAAUAUUUUGAUUCUUUAAUCAGAAUGAGACUUACUAUUUUUUACAUGAUUACAUACUUAAAUGAAAGUUUACUCUAAUUUUAGUUUAAUAUUUUUUUUGGUUUAUUUGUAACUAAUUCCAUCAAGAAAAACAAAUUUCAUUAAUGAUUCAUUUUGAAUUAGUACAAAUUAUUUUAUUAAAUUGGGCAUCUCCAUCCUUUUUCCCACCGUGCGUAGCACGGUUUAUGCCUCCUAGUUACACGUAAAAGGAGACAUAGCCUCCGUCGUCGAGUCCAAGGUCCAAGCGCCCGGCGACGAUUGAAACGGCAAGACAACCAGGCCCUCCUCUUCCGCAAACUUUCUGACCGCGCGUGGCCUCCUCAGAUCAUUCUUCUUCAUGCUUGUCUUUCUUCCAUCCGCAUCCUUCCGCUGCCUUUGUUUUUUCUCCCACAGUUAAUUGAACAGUCCAAGAAUCAAAAUACAAUAAUCUUUUUAUACUAGCGUUUCCCAGGAAGUCAAAUCACACGCUCAUAGCUCAAUUCUUAUUAAGGGAAAGAGAAGACAAGUAAACCAGAAAAGAGAAAUCAAGAGCCAAGAAUGGGACUCUUCACCUACACCAUAGCCGGAGGCGGUUUCAUCUUGAUCGGUGCUUGGGAAUCGUUCGUGUCUUCCUCUGAAUGUAUCCGAAAUACGCCACCAUCUCCGCCCCUUGCCAGCCAUCGCGCCAUUUCAGGUAUUAACAACAGCAGCACUCAAACGAAAAAGGCCCCUCCUUUUUCAUCAUCGGUAACAUGCUUAUCAAUCUCCGUCCUUUCUUUCCUCUUCAUUCUAAACUCUCUCAUCUCCAUCUCCGACGCCCUCAACUCCAAAGACCACGUCGGUUUCGCCUUCCAGUUAGAGGUAAUCGCAAUCGCGCUCUUUUUUUCCUAUAUUCAACUUUGGGUCUCUUCACGCUUGUCAAGAUUUCGUUUCAAUUUCCUUCAGCGAUCCUCAAUAUGCUGCUUCUUUUCGCUUUCGGCGAAGAAUUUUUGUUCUUUUACGUUAGAAGAAAGGACCCCAGUGGGGUAGAAAACCGAUACUACGAUCUCUUCCUCGUGCCAAUAGGCAUUUGUCUGUUUUGUACUAUUCUCGAACUGAAAAGUCCCAAAUCGAAUUAUGCAAGAUUGGGACGCGGGGUUGGACUGGUUUUACAGGGUAUGUGGAUAGUCCAGAUGGGUUUCUCAUUUUUCUCUGAUUUGAUGAUGGUACAUGGAUGCUCUUUGCACGGGAAGAGUAGAGGAAACUAUACGAUUAAGUGUAAAGGGCACCCUGAGUAUCAUCGUGGUCGAGCGAUCGCUACGCUUCAGUUUAAUUGCCAUCUUGCACUUCUAGUGACUUUGAUUGUUGUGGUGUAUGGAAUUGUCUGCAAGAAGCAUGGGAUUAGGCGUGAUUUGUUGCUGUAUAGGCCGCUUGGACCUGAGAUUGAGCAUCUGGAUGGUCAGCCUCAGUUUACUCUGGAUUCUGAUGAUGAUCUUGAUGAUGCUGAUCAGAAUGGGAUUAAAGAGGUGGGGAGUGUGGAAAUGCAGAAGGCUAUUGUAGCAGUGCCUGCAUCAGAAGUCAAUGGUUAUGGUACUCAUUGACGAGGUAGAUAUUUGGAUCUUAGUUUUGUUAAGUGAAUAGCUUAGAUUAGCUCAUUUGUUAAAUUGUUUGUGACAUAGAAUUUGGAUAAAUGCAAUGAGGGAAUUUUUUUUUUUUUGGGGUUAGCUGGUGAAGAGGAUAUUGAUCUGCAUUGUGAGUGCUGUUAUAAUUUUUCUUAAAGUUGCAAUUAUAGUAUUUCACGACAUUUUGGCUCUUGUUUGUCUUUAUGUUAUUGUCGUAAACCAUGAAUUGACUCGAAGAAUUGCAAUGAUUGUUUGAUGUUUGUCUUUAUGUUAUUGUCGUAAACCAUGAAUUGACUCGAAGACUUGCAAUGAUUGUUUGAUGUUCCUGAUUAUCAGCCAUGAUGAAUCUUUUAUAGCGGUUUAUUAUGAUUUAUUCGUGGUUCCUGCUAAUCGCAGAAUUUGUGAUUCGGUUUGUGAUCUGUGGCAAUAAUGUCACCUUUUGAAGGACUUCCACUUCAGUGAUAAGGGUGGAAGGAGAAAAGAUCAUCAGUUAGUAACAUCUGAAUGUACUUGAGUGGCAAAUAUGCAAUCGGUUACUUUGAAGACUAGUAGAAUUAGGUCUGCUCAAUCAGACAACAUAUUAAAUGUACUUAGCUCAUAUUUUCAUAUGUAAUUCCUCGUCUUACUUGUCCUUCUUACACUGAGCAGCUCAAAGAAUGAAGAGCAAAAGAGUGCAAAAUCAUUAUCAUUGAGUUUCUCAAGCAUUCGCAAGGGUGGCAAAGGGGUGAUGGAAGGUUCUAAAGGUGCUCAAAACAAGAAGUAGCUUGGAAUCUGGUCAUCACUUUGGCUGUAGAGACUAGAGAGAUAGACUCAUCAAUUAUCAGCAUUAGGAAGACCUGCUGGAAUCUGCUGUUAGGUGAUGUCAAAGUUGCUAAACCCUUGAUAUGAUGAACCAAGUUUAUUUGGGAUGGUAGCAUUAGUUGGACGCCAAGCGCAUCCUUGACUAGUCUGCGCUGUGUUUCAUUUUGCUCUCUUUGAUGGUACACUGUUCAUCUCCGCCUCACUUGGUAGACAAGAGUAGAUCAGGAUACAUAUUUCUAAACUUAUGCCCUCUUGCAUAUAGCAUUGUGGGUUGCACAGCUGGAGCUAUUGGCUAGAUAACGAACAAAAUGUCUUUAUGUUUCAUGUUUAUAAGGAUUCACGAUGUGCAUAUUUAGACAUCAGUAUCGGAUAUUUUUUUUUUUUUUCGGGGUGAUCAGAAAACUGAAUCUCAUCUCAUUAUUCGUGUCAGAAUAGUAGCUCAUGUUUUGCUAAUACUGGUGGAAAAAGUUUACUACUUAGAUUGGAUAUAUCUUGGCUCACCUUUAGGAAAUUUGUUUGAAAUUAGCAAUUUCUUCUUGGACACCAAUACUUCAUAUAUGGGAUGAUAUGGCAAGAGAUCAGUGAGUUUGGCUGCGCUGAUUUAGCGGGGGUUUCAGUUUAUUUCCUUGUAUGUCAGUUCGUUGUUCCAAAUGUUCUCCAAGUAUCUUUGCAUUGUGCCGCACUUGAUUGCUAUAUGUCCAUUUUACAAGCUGUGAGGCGUAAGGCGUUACAGGUCUACCCUGUUUGGGAAAUGAAACAGGAGGAAGAUUCCGCCAUCCUAUUUUGGGGCCUUGGAAGCUUGGGCGGUGGUAAUUGAUGCCGUCUCAAAAUCAGUGUUUGUCCUUGCGUGUAAAACGCUUAGUUCAAUGUGGUGGUGCCGAUUAAAGAACAGAACAAUGACGGAUAACCAUCAUAUGUUUGUGAAAAUUGAAUAGAGAAUAGAAAGAAUUAUGAGGUCCUAUAAAAGAGUACCGAACAAUGACAGAUAACCAUAAUAUGAAUGCAAAAAUUUAAAAGAGAGUAGAAAGAUCUAUGAAAGAGUAGCACACUGUUUGGAUUGCAAGUUUUGAGAGUUUUUUUUUUUUAAGAAAAAUUUGUAUAGUGAUUUGAUAUAUAUGAAUAAAAAAUAUAUUCACGGAGGAAAAGAAGUAGUACUUGUGUAAGAUAGGAUAGGUAACCAUGAAGUAUGUAAAGCUAGCUACUGUUGCCUUACGUAAUAAAUUAUUACUCCAUCUCCAUUGAUCAACGAUCAGGAUGGAAGUUUGAAGAUAUAUUGGAGCAGUCUUAUUUUCAUCUCCCAUGGCAGAAACACUUUUUUGACUUCUCCAAGAAUAAUAAGUUGGCCUUUGGGAUAAUAGGUAAAUCGAGGAGACAUAUUACAUAUACAACGAAAAGGAGCACACUACUGAGUACUGACUGAAUACAACUUCUUCGUUUGAUACAAUGCGAACUUGGCUACAACUGAGCUGACCGGUCAUAUUCUACUUUUAUGGAAUCUAAAGAAAAUUACAAAUCCCACGAAGCUUACAGAAUCGAGUAUGGCUAGCAGCCAGUAGUAGCUGUCUAGACGGGAAUUUCUCAUGUCAUCAUUGAACCAACUGUUUUCUCUUCCACCGGAACUCGUGAAGCAUUCAACGAGAGAUAUAAGGAGGGCGCUUAAGAAGCUUCCUACCCCGAAGACGCUGGUAUACAGAGCUAUACCCAUUGUUCUAAAUCUGAGAGGAACCUCAGAAUAGAAGAACUCUUGCAUGCCUACGACCGUGAAUAUAUCAGAAAUGCCCAACAAAAUGUAUUGAGGAAGCAGCCAAAAGAUGCUCAAUGGUACGGUUUCAGACAGCAGAUCGGAAGCUACCAUUUGUCUGCUCAGCUCAAGCCUCUUCCUUUCAGUUAAAGCAGCAAUCACCAUGGCUAUCACCGACAAAAACAUUCCAAUUCCCAUCCUCUGUAUCACGCUGAUUCCUUUCUCAUUUUGAGUGAGGAUUCGGGUUAAGGGUAUGAAGAGGAUGUCAUACAAAGGCAUCAAGAGGAUAAUAGAGACGGUUAUUGCACUUUGAAGUGCUGCUGGUGGGAUCUUGAAUUUGCUGCCGAUGUUCCUCUUCAUCGUCAUGCCUUGUUUGGUAAAGAAUGUUGGAGGUUGCUGAAAAAUCACAGCAAACAUCAGAAGCAUGGUCCAAACUGGCAGCAGAGGCAGCACCAUUUUUGCAAUUUGAACAAGAUGAUUCUCAUUCUCAGAUUUCUCAUACAAGCCUUCCAUUCCUUCAGGAUCUGCGUCAAAGAGUGGUUUCUCCUGGAGUCUACAAGGACAACACCCGGUCGUUAGUACUUUGUAGAAUUGCUAGUAUCAUGCAACUGUAAAAUAGAGAGACGCUUACUCUAGCUCGGCCACAUCUGAGUUUCUAUCCAAAUCAAUCUUGCCGCAGAACAUCCUCGAUAGAGUUGUUUUGACUGUUUGUGUCAUGUUUUCCGUCGACUUGUUAUCGACAUUCUUGGCCUUCUUAUGCUUAUAAAACCGGUUCCCCAAUAAAAAUAUUGCAAUGGACGCUAGAAAUGAAAUUGCAGGGAUGGCAAAUCCCAAUCCCCAUCCCAGAGUAUCUUGGAUAUAUGACAUGAGGGAGACUCCAAGCAAGCUGCCACAACAGAUGCCGAAGUACCACCACUGGAAAAAUAAUCUCCUCUUAUCAGAACUGUGGUCAGUUUUGUUGCUAGGUAAUUCAUCCCCAUCGUCCAGCUGAUCAGCUCCAAAGGCUUGCAAGGAAGGGUUAUACCCACCUUGGCCUAGUGAAAUCAGAUAGAGAGACCAGUGAAGGAGUGCCGAGGAGCUAACUUUGCCGAUCGGAAUCAAAAGCCAUCCCAGCGCCGUAGACGCUAACAUUACGAGUCCCUGGGCAAACGAAACGAAAGAUUACGGUCGUCGUCUCAUAUGCCAUACGCCAAAUUCUAAGUUAUACUAACAACAUUGGCACCGCUGGCUUUUAGUUACAUUUCCAUUCAAAUUCUCUAGAUUUUAAACAUAAUUGAAUGAAAAACCAGACUACGUUAAAGCUGCAGCAGAUUCAAAAAUUUUGACAAUGCUUCUCAUCAAUCAAUACACUACAAGUAAAUCGCCACAUCAAUGGUACAUUAAACUACUAGAUAGUAGCACCAAUUUUUUUUUUUUUUUUAAUAGCAAAAAAGCAAUUUCACUUGGCAAAAGAAGUGGGAAAUGACUCGGGUUCCAUUUACCUUUGUGGAUACACACCUUAGCAGGUAUCCCACCAUUUCCACAUCAAAUUCCACUAAAUAAUUAGCAAUGGAUACACAAAAAACAACAGGAGAAAAGAAGCAACAAGCAUCUGAAUUCGUAACGCAACAGCCCAAUAUUAAGCUUCGUAGGGGCCAAACCAAACACAAGGAGUGAAAGGGAAAGGGAAAGGGAAAGUUGAGAGACUUUACCAAAGCAUAGAGCAAGGCAGCAGAUUGUACGGUGGUAUACCGGUCCCAGUAAGAGUCAGCAAGCGGAGCCACUACCAGCGGCACCAUAGACGUAAAACCGCACCAACUGUUAACCAUCUUCGCCGCCGACGAGUUGCUCAUUUUAACAACAUCAGUAAGAUAAGUCACCAAAUUGGACGCCACACCCUUGAAUGCAAACCUCUCCACGCCAGCUAUGACUGGUGAGAACGUUUCAAGUACUUGUAAAUAUUCACAGGCCCAGCGUAUAAAUCGUGGUGCAUUUUUAAUAAUACCGGUAGCCGGAUUGUUUCUUUAAAGAAAAACCAGAAAGAACAAGGAAAAAAAAGUGAACAUGCAGAUGAAAAACUACGUACCAAUGAGAAGUACAAUGGGCUUAUUGAGUCCUGCGGUUAGUCUGUGUCCUCCGGCCAUGAGUGUCAGAGUCGAAUGGGAAAACGAAGCUGGGAACUGGUUCUAGACUCUGGAAAAAGUAUCAACCCGGAAAAAAAUGAUGAAAUAGAGAGGCGUGGGAGAAUUGAGAGGAUAACUUGUUUGUUUCUUGUUUCUUUCAAAUUCUCAGUGUUUCAGUAAGCACGCAUGAAAGGGGCAAUAGAAGUUUAGAGGAAUCACUUAAGAAGUUGAGACUAUAUACUAGUGUUCUUGUUGGGUUCCACCAGUGCAUGUUGGAAACUACUAUAUACAACUUUGUCGUUAAAUGGGUGGUUAAUGGAAUACAGGACGAUCACUAUAAAUGAGCUCCCUAGCUUACAAGGCUGAAGGUUACAGCAAGAACGGAAAAAAAAUUUUAGUUGGCUGCCUCGUCACGGCGGUCCUAUUUGCCCAAGAAUAUAACACUAGCACCAGUACAUUAGUAUGUCCUCGUGCAGCAGGCACUAUACAUUCCUCCUUCAAAAGCACGCCACGCCUGAAACUGAAUGCUUGGUCACUCACUUGGACUCUUCGCACAUCUGCCGCGUAGGCAACUUAAUUAGCCUUUUGCAUGAUGAUGAUUUGCCAAUUAUAUUGGAGUUGAAAAAACAAAUUAUCGCGAAAAGCUCCAACACAAUAACCAACUUUAUAAGAUUAUCCUCUACCAUUUACCAAUGACCAACCAUUCCUCCAGCUUUAUUUCACCACUAAAACUAAGACGUAAGAUCCAUUUGAAAGAAUGAUUGGCUUGACGGGAUACGUAAGAUCCUUUUUCUUUCUUUCUUUCCUUCUUUUUCUUCCGUAUACAACCUAACCAGCAUAUUAAUUUCCAGCACGUCCGAGCGUUAUGGAAUUUGUAACUGGCUUCUUCUGCCCACGCGAAGGAACGAGGGUAUCUGUCUCGGCUCACGGUCAUCUCGUGCUUCGAAUUUGACGUUUGCUGGAUCAAUUUAGCUCUGAGAAUCUGAUUACAGACGACAACAUACACUCAUAGGGGUACGUAUAUAUUUGUGUGUCACCUUUUUCUGUGGGCAGAACUGAUUCAGACGACCAAAAAAGCAAUGAAAGUGGCGAAACUCCUGUAGUCUGGUCUAUAUACUUGGCUCGGCCUGAUGAACCAAUUACGUCGUGUCAUAGUGAUGCUACUUACACUCCUGACGAUCGAUAAUGCAGAUGCAGGUGCGAUGACUCUGUCAAAAACAUCUAAAGUCGGAACAGGAGAGACCCGCUGAUCUACGUACGGAGCCAUAUGGUAUUGAUCACUAUCCAUACAUAAUUGAUUAAAAAGAAAAAAAAAAAAAAGCACUAAUGCUCCUGUCCUGCUCCAUAAAACGGCUGUUUAUUGCAAUUACCUUUUGCGUCACAAAUCCAAGACGUCAAUCGGGGCCAUGCACCAAUCAGUGAGUCUUUUCUGCACCUUCCCCGCUCCUGCUGCUCUUUUGUGAUAUACUGACAUGGAAACCACUCCCUUAUUUCACUCCUCCUACCAUAUGGAAUUGACCAGCCCAAUAUUUAACAUAUGCAUAUGGGAUCCAUAGCUGCUAAAUACUGACACGCGGCCUCCAACAUAAUUGGGACAUUGUUAUCUCUUCCAGGUUCUGGACGCCAUUUUGGUUUAAGCGUCCCGGUCUGCUAGCUACCUAGCUACAUUUGGCGUGUACCUAUCUGCAUGCACUAAAAUUAUGAGACGAUACUCUCAAAACCGAACCAACUGGGGAACAGGCUUUCUUGUGCUCUGUCGUACAUAGAGGUACUAUUGAGCCGAGUCGAGCUCGAGCUCAAUCAAAAUUUGUGCUACUCGAGCUCGAUCGAGUAAAAAAUUUGGACUCGAGCUCGACUCGAUGAAAUAAAACUAAACUCGAACUCGAUUCGGUUGAGCUCGAGUAAGCUCGAAUAAAUAUCAAGCCCGAGCUACUCGAGCCAAAAUUUGUAUCUCAAGCCGACAUAGUUCUACACAAAAGCCCCGAUAGCCAUAUCCACUCGCCAGUUGCCCGCUUCAAAUUAAUUAACUCUGUUUUGGCAGAGUGGGGCCCGGCCUUCUUCAAUCUGCACAAAAUCUGUUAUGGAACGGAAAUUGGAAAUUGGUUGGUUUUUGUAUUUAACAAAAAUUAAAUAUUUGAGAGCACAAAGAUUUGUAUUUACUCUCAAAUAUUUAAUUUUUGUUAAAUACAAAACUUAUCAGUUUUCAUUCCGUAAAAAUAUUAAUGUAACACUUUUUCUUUUUUAGUUACAAAUAUUUAUGUAUUUAAUAUAAAUUAAAUGAUUCAGAAUAAAAUAUUCAUAAAAAGUCAAUACUUUACUCGUAUAAUGGAUGAAAACUAUAAAGAAUUAAUACUUUAUGGGUCAUUUUUUUUAAAUAUUUAAUUAUAUUAAAUAGAUAACCUACCGAUUUCCUUUUUGUAAGAAUAUUACUGUAACACUUUUUGAAUUUUACUUACAAACAUUGACAUAUUUAUCAUAAAUUAAAUAUUUGAAAAUAAAAUAUUCAUAAAGAGCCGGUACUUUAAAUGGGUAAUGCAUAUCUGCCCAUAAACUACACUGUUUAAAGUUUAUUAAUUGUUAAUUGAUUUGUAGUACUUUAUUAUUCGUUGGACAUAUAGCACAAAUGGCCAGUAUGGUAUAAAAUUAUAAUUUGACUCCCUAAAACAAUAUUUUAAUCGUUUGGACUGAAUUUGCAAAAGAUUAGUAGGUUCAGAGAAGGUCAGUACUAUUUUUCAAACUAUAGGGGAGGUCAGUGCAAGUGUCAGAAACCUCAGGGGAGGUUUCUGCAAUUAUCCCUUCUUUUCAAUGAAAGCCUUCUGCAGUCUUGAUUCUUGAACCCCUCGGAUUGAACUGUUCAAUUCCAAUCUCGAGUACUAGAUCGAACUUUGCAUUUGUCCAGAGAUCGGAAAUAGGUGAAAAAAGGCCCCUCCGAUCAUGGCAGAGCACCACCACCACCACAACCACCACCAUCACCGCCCGAGCCGGCUCUCGCUUCCACCACGCACCACUGUUCCUCACACUACGCCAACCACCUCAAGACCCACACCGUAUCAAGGAUUCCCCUUCCCGCCGGCGACUCCCACCCCAACCCCCUCCAAACACCGCCUGUCCUCUCUCUCCACCAAGACUUCGAGCUCUAAAACCUCUCUCUCCUUCCUCUUCCUCCUUUUCUCCCUUCGCUCCCUCUACUCUCUCCUCCCAUUCCUUCGUUCCUCCCCUUCCUCUUUCUCCAUCUUCCCCUUCUCUUUCUUAGUCUCUCUCCUCUCUUUCCUCCUCACACUCUCUUUCCCUCUCUUCAUUUCCCUAUCUUCUUCUUCCUUUAGAGAUCAUUUUCAUCAAAAACAACGCCAGCCCAUUUUCUCUUUCACCUCCAUUACUCAAUCCCAGUAUAGACUUCUGGUUGCUAAAUCACUCCUCCUAGCCGUAAUAUUCCUCCUCCGUUUCCAAGCCCUCCGUUACUGCGGUACAGCUGCGUUGAUUCUUGCUGAAUUGUCCGGAAAUGUAGCUGCGCGUUUCAUUGCUGAGGGUAAAAAUCGCAACUUUAUUGGUAAAACUCAAAUUGGCAUGUCUAAGGUUCGUGGCUUUAUUGCCUUGUUUUCUGGGUUGUUUUUGUUAUCUAUUAGUUGGGAUCGUCUUGACUGCUUCCCUUUCUCUUCUAUCAACGUUCACAAAUUUGGAUUGUCAUUUUUUCCUGGUCAGAAUUGUAUUAGAAUUUGGCCGAUGUUGCUUCCGUUCUUGUCUGGGUUUUUAGGGUGUUAUGAGCGGGUUUCGAUGAACUGGGGUACUGUUAGGCAACUGGGGCCAAAACGGGUUCGGUUGCUUUCACUGUUUUUCACAACUGUUGUGCUUUUCGUACCUGCUGUGAUCAGUAUGUUUAUAUUCGAAGUUGAAGGAGAUAGCAUUUCCAUUGCAAAUCUUGGUUGGCCUCUGGCCAAUACAGUUGUGUUUGGAGUGCUUUUGAGUGAGAAUUACACUGAUGAGAAAGUUGCUGCUUCCAAAGAUUUUCAGAGGGAGUAUCUUGUCACUUUUGUUUGUACAGUUAUUUUGGAGUUGUUCUAUUUUCCAGAGCUUUCCCUUUGGGGUUUACUGAUUUGUGGAUUGUUGCUGUGGGUUUCUGUGAGCGAAUUGGAUCCUGUUCAUCCUAAUUAUAUUGAAUUAGGUGUUGAAUCAUCGGACUCAUUCGCCAUGUCUAUUAUGAAGCCCAUUCGCCACAUUUUGAGUGAAAGAAAGUCACGCAAGAUUGCUCUUUUCCUGUUGAUAAAUGCUGCUUACAUGGUUAUAGAAUUUGUGGCGGGUUUCAUGAGUAACAGUCUUGGGUUGAUAUCAGAUGCAUGUCACAUGUUGUUUGACUGUGCUGCCCUUGUGAUUGGCUUGUAUGCAUCGUACAUUUCACGCCUCCCAGCAAAUGGUCAGUUCAACUAUGGUCGUGGAAGAUUCGAGGUUCUUUCAGGAUAUGUGAAUGCUGUCUUUCUGGUUCUUGUAGGAGCUCUAAUUGUGCUGGAGUCAUUUGAGAGGAUCUUGGAUCCUCAAGAGAUCUCUACAAACAGCUUGUUGGCAGUGUCUGUUGGAGGGCUGCUUGUCAAUGUAGUGGGAUUGAUCUUUUUUCAUGAGGAGCAUCAUCAUGCGCAUGGUGGUUCUGGAACAUGUACCCACUCACAUUCCCAUUCGCACUCAAAUUCCCGCUCUGAUUCUCAUUCCCAUCACAGCCACCACCACCAUUCACAUGACCAUAAAUGCCAAAUUCAGCACAAAACUCACGAGUGUGUUCCUGUUGUCCACAACAGCCAUGUGAAACCUUGCUCUGGUGAUGCGGAACACCAUGUUGGUCAUCACAAGCACCAUGAUUGUGAUAAUCACCAGAAAAGUGACAAGAAAGAAGGUGAAGAAUGUGGAACAAUGCAGUGCGACAGUCAUGAUGAUCACCAUCGUUAUGAUCAUGGUGCUGGCACGCUAAUCUGUGAUGGUUCAUUGAGUGUGAAUGGUCAAUCUCAUGGAAGUCAUGCUGGUCAGAGUGUGCAUGUCUUAGGGGACUUGCAUAGUCAUGAUCAUUCACACUUGGAGGAACUUAACAGGAAGCAGCAACACCACCAUCAUAUUGACCAUAACAUGGAAGGCAUCUUCUUGCAUGUUUUAGCAGACACCAUGGGAAGUGUCGGUGUGGUUGUUGCCACACUCUUAAUUAAGUAUAAAGGAUGGCUCGUUGCAGACCCUGCCUGCUCUAUCUUUAUAUCUGUACUGAUUAUAUCUUCUGUGAUUCCAUUGCUUAGAAAUUCUGCUGAAAUCUUGCUGCAAAGAGUUCCAAGAGCUCUUGAGCAGGAUCUCAGACAAGCAGUAAAUGAUGCUAUGAAGGUGGAUGGUGUGCGUGGAAUUCAGAAUCUGCACUUUUGGAGUCUGACGAACACUGAUGUUGUUGGGACCCUCCAUCUUCACAUAUCAACGGAGGCAAGUAAAGCUUCUGCAAAGGCUCAAGUGUCUCACGUAUUAGAGGAUGCUGGGAUCAAGGAUUUAACAUUGCAGGUGGAAUGUGUUAAAUGAGUAGUAUUCGACGAAAAAUGCUUUUACCAAUGAACAUCUUGCUGACGUCUUCAGAGAUGGCUUUUUGAGUUUGCGGCAACAAGCAGGCAUGAGAUUGGAAAUAUUGCCAUUACUGAUUCACCGGGGUACAGCACUUUCAUAUUCUAAGUUUUUACCUUGUCCUCUCUUUUUUUUUUUCAAUAGCUUUUGUAACAUUUUUUUCCAUCUGUCAACCAUCUGUCAAAUGCUGUAAUAACAAGCAAGUAAUUGUACUGAAUAUUUUUAGGGGGCUUGGAGUUUAAUCUGGCAGAAACACAGGUGGCUGGUACGAAGCAAGUAUCCUUUCAAAGCUGGAAGGCUGCAAAAGGAGGAUUAUCCAAUUUUGAGGCACCCAAGCUGAUAGGUUUAGUUAGUUUUUGUCAGUUUCUAGGACGAAUUUUGGUUUUUUCCAAGAACAAGCAACAUCAGUGAGUGUGCUGACAGCAGAAAUGCCAGUUGUCGGAAAGGCAGCUGCUUUGAUUGCAGGGAUGAAUAUCCCAACUAACAAGAGAUACAAAGCAAACUGAGAUGCCCAUAUGCUAGUAUGAUUAUUUAUUCGUGUUAGAUGAAUCAUUUCUCUGUUAACAUUUCAAAAUUUAAAGGGUAGAAAUGUGAAACGAUUGAAAUUAGCUGAUUGACAAGCGUAUGGAUUGUUAUCGUUAGGGGAAAAAAAAAAAACAAGCGUAUGGGCCGGUAUUUCUUAAUGCCACACUAGGACUGAAGAAUCAUAAUGGGAAUAAGGGGAAAACAAAAAAAAAUCGUCCACAGUCCCACGAUCGAACAGUCCCUGCCCUCCGAACUUCCAAGUUCCACCUCAAUUUAAUACCGCCGUUGCAAUUGAAAUCUGUGUCGGGUGUGAGGGUGGCGCAGAUAUGGGGAGCUCGGAGGAGAAGGUGGUAGCUGUUAUCAUGUCGGCGGACCCACUAAAGGUCUGGUCUGUUCAACCAACCAUUAGUAUCGACUUCCGAUUACCACCAUCUUUCUCACUUUCCUUGCUUAGAAAUGGACCGCUACAUGUUUGUGAAUUGCCUUUCCUGGUUGAAAUUUGAGCAUAAUUUAUAGUAACUGUGCGUAUCCCUCCUUGUUUCUUUGACAAAAAAUGUUGCAGGCACUCGAUUUCGGCCACUUUCUUUUAAUACUCCCAAGCCUCUUUUCCCUUUGGCUGGCCAGCCCAUGGUUCACCAUCAUAUUUUCUGCUUGUAAAAGGGUAUGCCUUUUGAUUGUCGUUUUUGAGUAGAAUUCCAUCCUGAAAAGGACUACUGGAAGAAGAAGAAGAAGAUAUCGGUAUCUUUCCGUUGUGAUUCAGCAUUAGAAUUCGACCGUGCUGUUUGUGCAGAUCAAGAACUUGGCACAAAUAUUUCUGAUCGGUUUUUACGAGGAGAGAGAAUUUGCUUUAUACGUCUCUUCAAUCUCCAGUGAGCUUAGAGUCUCUGUCAUCAGGCGAACUUUGGCCGUUUGGUUUCUACUAAUACUCGAUUCCAUGCUUUCUUCUUUCCCUUUUUCUUUGUUUUGGCUGCCUAACUUUCCCAAGUUUCCAGUACAAAACUUGAGCAUUGAAUCUGAGAGUGGUUUUCUGUCCUUUUAUAAAAAUUAUUUUGUAGAUAUUUGAAAGAAGACGGGCCUCAUGGUUCGGCGGGGGACCUUUAUUACUUUAGAGAUCUCAUGAUGGAAGAUUCUCCUGUGUGUCAUCCCAUUGCGCAUAGUUCUUAUUUAUUUGACCACCUUAAUGAUUUUGCUUUCGUCUUACAAUAGUCGACCGAGGGAGCAUAUGGUCGUGUUGUUUCUCCUUGGUGAUGAAGAACCACACUAUUAGCUUUUGGUAUCGAUAUCCACUUUUUCUUUUUUUUCCUUUUUUUUUGGGAAGCGUUUACGUGUUUUUUGCAAUGUUUUGAAAAUCGAAUCGAAUCGACCGGUUUGAUCGAUUGAACCGCGAAUCGACAAUGACAUCAGUCCGAUUCAAUGUCAUAGUUGACUUUGUCAAAAAAUCAUGUGUGUGAUACCAUCUUUGUACAGCUUAUUUGUUUUAUUUUCUCAUACUGAUAGAAGCCCUCUGGCACGUCUAUUAAUCUGACAUUUGCUUUUAUGAUCGAAUUGUAGAAAUCAAGGUAGUUAUGAUCGAAUUGUAGUAUGAAAGUUGCAGUAUAUACCACACAGUUGUCUUGCACCCUAAUGUUGGAUCGAAGUCAUCUCUUGGGAAGUGGUCUCGCCGCCCUGGUAUUCUCUCCAUUUUUCUUGUUUAUUUAUUUUUUUAGCAAAGGAAGUCCGGAGAGGGCAGGGAAUUUGAACCCAGGACCUCUAAUUCUUAGGUUUCAAUCUUAGCCACUAGAUCAACGAGGCCUCCUUGGCAGGUAUUGUUUUUUGCUUUUUCAUGGUUCAGGUAAUUUAUUCACUUAAUUAAUGAAGUGCAUGUAUAGUUUUCCUCCAUGUGGUGUAGUUCCCUCAAGAGUUUCAGAUUUGUCAAACUCCAAAAAUUUCAAGUAUUCCAUAAUUCAUAAUGUUGGAGGAAGAAGAUUAGGAUAUCAUGAAUUCUGAUUGCGUCUGCCUGUUUGGUCAUCCAUGUAAGUUGGCGUGACAUACAACGCAUAAUAAACAGUUAAAUAUAUAUAAAGAUAUAUAUAUAUAUAUCUUCAAUCCCAUGAUCUCUUAUACAGGGGAAGCUGUGACUGUUGAAGAUGAGGUUGUGGUGAUCAACUCCAUCGUUCUUCCUCACAGGACACUUAAUAUGAGCGUGCAGGAAGAAAUCAUUCUGUGAGAUAAUCAAGCUGCAUUUUGGAAGCUCCAUUUUGCAUUAUACUUCUUGGAUUUUAUGUCAUAACUGCUCUUAUACCAAAAGUAAAUUGCAAUGCUAAUCGAUAGAGCACUCAGAAAGUAAAAAUUAUAGAUUCCAUGUUGUAUACUGCUACCUCCCGCACCCUAUUUAAUAAUCUGAAUGCUUCUUGUAUAUCGUCAUUGUGUAACCUGCAAAUGUGCUACUUUCCUUUUGGCCUUUUUUUUAUACGAAACAAAUACCUAGAGAGAGCUGUCUUAUGGACAAAGAUAAGAGUGGAUCACCAACUGGUCGAAUCUUAUUGUAGAGGCUGAAGUCUAGUCUGAGUAUAGUGCCAAUAUCAAGUGUAAGUGGUAAUCGGAUUGCAAAAUGAAAGACAGAUUGGAUUUCAGACCGGGCAAUUUAUUACACAAGGGAAGUGGAAAAUGGGAUGACAAAAUGAAAUCGAUGCGCCCAAAACCAAUCACAGAAACUGAUUUUACCAGGGAAUAAACAAAAGGAAUGGUGCACAAAGUUGCUCGUUGCCUGUUCACGGCCGUGGCAAGAUGAGUGCAACAGUGAUUGUCACGCUUCACCCCCGAGUGACAAACUAAGCCAUUGAUCUCAAAAUUUCAAACAGAAAAAGCCGUGCAGUUGCAGGAGGAAUGUUUUAUAACCAGAAAACAGAGCUUUGGAAGGAUCAAAGCUUUGGUCCCUGCUUCAGUGAUAUAAUCAUACAAGUGUAACAAACUUAACAGUACAUCACCAAUUUUUAUAAGAUGUCUUACAGCGAGAUGUUUAUCCAUAUGAUAUUACCAAAUCUAUCCAAUAUGGAACUGCAUGUAAAACUUUUAACCCUAUCAAAACUUCGGUUUAUGAUAUUCUGACUUUUGUGGAAGACAUAAUUGCACUGCCCCAAUUCUUCCAGCUGAUGUAAUCUACACAUCAGCUCUGUAGCAUAGACGCAAUCUGAGUACUAU